rnacentral:rRNA from 2 species
AGGGAUUGCCUUAGUAACGGCGAGUGAAGCGGCAAUAGCUCAAAUUUGAAAGCUGGCCCCUUCGGGGUCCGCGUUGUAAUUUGUAGAGGAUGAUUCGGCGAGGGCUCCCGUCUAAGUCCCUUGGAACAGGGCGUCAUAGAGGGUGAGAAUCCCGUAUGUGAUGGGCUGCCUUAGCCAUGUGAAUCUCCUUCGACGAGUCGAGUUGUUUGGGAAUGCAGCUCUAAAUGGGAGGUAAAUUUCUUCUAAAGCUAAAUACCGGCCAGAGACCGAUAGCGCACAAGUAGAGUGAUCGAAAGAUGAAAAGCACUUUGGAAAGAGAGUUAAAAAGUACGUGAAAUUGUUGAAAGGGAAGCGCUUGCAGCCAGACUUGUCCGCAGUUGCUCAGCUUGUCUCCUGACAGGCGUACUCUUCUGCGGCCAGGCCAGCAUCAGUUCGGGCGGUCGGAUAAAGACCUAGGGAAUGUAGCUCCUCUCGGGGAGUGUUAUAGCCCUGGGUGCAAUGCGGCCAGCCUGGACUGAGGAUCUCGCUUCGGCUAGGAUGCUGGCGUAAUGGCUGUAAGCGGCCCGUCUUGAAACACGGACCAAGGAGUCUAACAUCUAUGCGAGUGUUUGGGUGUCAAACCCAUGCGCGUAAUGAAAGUGAACGGAGGUGGGAACCCUCACGGGUGCACCAUCGACCGAUCCUGAUGUCUUCGGAUGGAUUUGAGUAAGAGCAUAGCUGUUGGGACCCGAAAGAUGGUGAACUAUGCCUGAAUAGGGUGAAGCCAGAGGAAACUCUGGUGGAGGCUCGCAGCGGUUCUGACGUGCAAAUCGAUCGUCAAAUUUGGGUAUAGGGGCGAAAGACUAAUCGAACCAUCUAG